rnacentral:rRNA from 1 species
AUUGAACGCUGGCGGCAUGCCUUACACAUGCAAGUCGAACGGUAACAGGUCUUCGGAUGCUGACGAGUUGCGAACGGGUGAGUAAUACAUCGGAACGUGCCUAGUAGUGGGGGAUAACUACUCGAAAGAGUGGCUAAUACCGCAUGAGAUCUACGGAUGAAAGCAGGGGAUCGCAAGACCUUGUGCUACUAGAGCGGCCGAUGGCAGAUUAGGUAGGUGGUGGGAUAAAAGCUUACCAAGCCGACGAUCUGUAGCUGGUCUGAGAGGACGAGCAGCCACACUGGGACUGAGACACUGCCCAGACUCCUACGGGAGGCAGCCGUGGGGAAUUUUGGACAAUGGGCGCAAGCCUGAUCCAGCAAUGCCGCGUGCAGGAUGAAGGCCUUCGGGUUGUAAACUGCUUUUGUACGGAACGAAAAGCCCUGGGUUAAUACCCUGGGGUCAUGACGGUACCGUAAGAAUAAGCACCGGCUAACUACGUGCCAGCAGCCGCAGUAAAAC